GGCGGCGGGCGUUCUAGUGGUAGAACGCCCGCCUCGGUUGCGGGAGGCUGUGGGUUCGAUUCCCACCGCCGCCG